rnacentral:rRNA from 1 species
UACGUAGGGGGCAAGCGUUGUCCGGAUUUACUGGGCGUAAAGAGCGUGUAGGCGGCCAAGCAGGUCCGUUGUGAAAACUGGAGGCUUAACCUCCAGACGUCGACGGAAACCGCGUGGCUAGAGUCCGGAAGAGGAGAGUGGAAUUCCUGGUGUAGCGGUGAAAUGCGCAGAUAUCAGGAAGAACACCCGUGGCGAAAGCGGCUCUCUGGGACGGUACUGACGCUGAGACGCGAAAGCGUGGGGAGCGAACAGG